GAAACACGGACCAAGGAGUCUAGCAUGUGCGCGAGUCAUUGGGACUCUGAUAAACCUAAAGGCGCAAUGAAAGUAAAGGUCCGCCUCGCGCGGACCGAGGGAGGAUGGGCCCGUCCCCGGGCGGGCCCCGCACUCCCGGGGCGUCUCGCUCUCAUCGCGAGAAGAGGCGCACCCAGAGCGUACACGCUGGGACCCGAAAGAUGGUGAACUAUGCCUGGUCAGGACGAAGUCAGGGGAAACCCUGAUGGAGGUCCGUAGCGAUUCUGACGUGCAAAUCGAUCGUCGGAACUGGGUAUAGGGGCGAAAGACUAAUCGAACCUUCUAGUAGCUGG
rnacentral:rRNA from 1 species